rnacentral:rRNA from 1 species
ACGCUCGACACCUACAGGAGGCAGCAGUGGGGAAUAUUGCACAAUGGGGAAACCCUGAUGCAGCGACGCCGCGUGGAGGAAGAAGGUCUUCGGAUUGUAAACUCCUGUUGUUGGGGAAAAAGAGGAUGGUACCCAACAAGGAAGUGACGGCUAACUACGUGCCAGCAGCCGAGGUAAUCUGAGCGGGCUGGCAAGGC